rnacentral:rRNA from 1 species
CCUACGGGCGGCAGCAGUGGGGAAUAUUGGACAAUGGGGGGAACCCUGAUCCAGCCAUGCCGCGUGUGUGAAGAAGGCCCUCGGGUUGUAAAGCACUUUCAGUGAGGAAGAACGCCUGGUGGUUAAUACCCAUCAGGUAAGACAUCACUCACAGAAGAAGCACCGGCUAACUCCGUGCCAGCAGCCGCGGUAAUACGGAGGGUGCGAGCGUUAAUUGGAAUUACUGGGCGUAAAGCGCGCGUAGGUGGUUUGAUAAGCCGGUUGUGAAAGCCCCGGGCUCAACCUGGGAACGGCAUCCGGAACUGUCAAGCUAGAGUGCAGGAGAGGAAGGUAGAAUUCCCGGUGUAGCGGUGAAAUGCGUAGAGAUCGGGAGGAAUACCAGUGGCGAAGGCGGCCUUCUGGACUGACACUGACACUGAGGUGCGAAAGCGUGGGUAGCAAACAGGAUUAGAUACCCUGGUAGUC